rnacentral:rRNA from 1 species
UACGUAGGGUGCGAGCGUUUAAUCGGAAUUACUGGGCGUAAAGCGUGCGCAGGCGGUUAUGUAAGACAGAUGUGAAAUGCCCGGGCUUAACCUGGGAACUGCAUUUGUGACUGCAUGGCUAGAGUUUGGCAGAGGGGGGUAGAAUUCCACGUGUAGCAGUGAAAUGCGUAGAUAUGUGGAGGAACACCGAUGGCGAAGGCAGCCCCCUGGGCUAAGAUUGACGCUCAUGCACGAAAGCGUGGGGAGCAAACAGG